AACACGUGGAUAAUCUACCCGACAGUCAGGGAUAACAUUUCGAAAGGAAUGCUAAUAUCUGAUAAGCCUACGCCCUCCUCGGAGGAAGUAGGAAAAGGUGGGGACCUUCGGGCCUGCCGUUGUUGGAUGAGUCCGCGGCCCAUUAGCUAGUUGGUAGGGUAAUGGCCUACCAAGGCUACGAUGGGUAGCUGGUCUGAGAGGAUGAUCAGCCACACUGGAACUGAGACACGGUCCAG
rnacentral:rRNA from 1 species